UACGUAGGGUGCGAGCGUUAAUCGGAAUUACUGGGCGUAAAGCGUGCGCAGGCGGUUUUGUAAGCCAGAUGUGAAAUCCCCGGGCUUAACCUGGGAAUGGCAUUUGGGACUGCAAGGCUGGAGUGUGGCAGAGGAGACUGGAAUUCCUGGUGUAGCAGUGAAAUGCGUAGAUAUCAGGAGGAAUACCGAUGGCGAAGGCAGGUCUCUGGGACGGUACUGACGCUGAGACGCGAAAGCGUGGGGAGCGAACAGG
rnacentral:rRNA from 1 species